rnacentral:rRNA from 1 species
UGAUUGAUAACAUUUGAGUGAGUGGCGGACGGGUGAGUAACACGUGGGUAACCUGCCCUAAAGUGGGGAUAACAUUUGGAAACAGAUGCUAAUACCGCAUAAAACUUAGUAUCGCAUGAUAUAAAGUUAAAAGGCGCUACGGCGUCACCUAGAGAUGGAUCCGCGGUGCAUUAGUUAGUUGGUGAGGUAAAGGCUCACCAAGACCGUGAUGCAUAGCCGACCUGAGAGGGUAAUCGGCCACACUGGGACUGAGACACGGCCCAUACUCC